UCUCUCUCUCUUAUUACCACCAUGGCUAACCUCACCUCACCUCACCCCACAUCUUAAAUAGUGGCCCUUUCGUCUCUCCUCUUCUCAUAUCAUCUCAGAUGGCUUAUAGCUUAAUAUCGAUUAAGUACUUCUUGCAGCUCCUUUCCCAUGCGUUAUGAAUGAAAUGAUUCGAGGCUAGCUGUUGAUUUGAUUUAAAAGCAAUCGAAGAUGUCAAAACACUAUUGCUUCAGGUAACCCCUUUUCUUAUGCUCCAUAGAUGUGUGUAUCUAUCUAUGCAUACAUAUAUUAUAUAUACAUAUACAUUCAUU